GGACGAACGCUGGCGGCGUGCCUAACACAUGCAAGUCGAACGGACGAAGCCCUUCGGGGCCUAGUUAGUGGCGAACGGGUGAGUAACGCGUGAGGAACCUGCCUUUCAGAGGGGGACAACAGCUGGAAACGGCUGCUAAUACCGCAUAACGCAACGAGACCGCAUGAUCUUGUUGCCAAAGAUUUAUCGCUGAAAGAUGGCCUCGCGUCUGAUUAGCUAGUUGGUGGGGUAACGGCCUACCAAGGCGACGAUCAGUAGCCGGACUGAGAGGUUGAACGGCCACAUUGGGACUGAGAUACGGCCCAGACUCCUACGGGAGGCAGCAGUGGGGAAUAUUAGGCAAUGGGGGAAACCCUGACCUAGCAACGCCGCGUGAAGGAAGAAGGCUUUCGGGUUGUAAACUUCUUUUACCAGGGACGAAGAACGUGACGGUACCUGGAGAAAAAGCCACGGCUAACUACGUG
rnacentral:rRNA from 1 species